CGCAAUGUCACAGUACGGAUUUUUCUUGUUCGGUUCGCUUUUGACACUUCUCGCUCCGGCGGACUCCUACGUAGUACUAACAGCAAAUUAUGACGACCUGAGGCGGAUCGCGCAGAAGUUUAUACCAGAAGACGUCGUUGACAAUAUCGCAGAUUUUUUAUCAAAAGCCACCAGUGGAAUCUCAGGUGCUAAUAAUGUCUCAAAAGAAAAUAAAGGAAACUUUGACAACGACAAAGAAGCAUCAGAAGAUUCGAAAA